rnacentral:lncRNA from 1 species
CCUUUCUUUGUAAUAAAAACAUAUUUUUAUUUAUCAAUGUACAGUAAUAUAAAAAAUGUUUUAUAACCGCCCCUAUAAUAAAAAAUAAUGCAUGUUUUUUUUUUUUUUUUAAUAUCUAUUGGGAAUAAGUUGUUGCAAUGAUAUUUUUUUUAUUUAUGUAUAGUCGCUAUAUAGUCUUCUUGACGCUUCUUCUCACUAAACUAAUUGUAUUGUCGCUUCUUAUCGCUAUAUUAAUUUUAUUGUCGCUUCUUAUCACUUUUUGACGCUUCUUGUCUUUAAUUAGUGGAACCCUAUUCAGGAACGAUAAUUUCAUACUUUACAUAACUGAGACCGAAAUAACUAUAACGUCAUACGGCUUCACGUACAAAAAUACUUUAAAUUGUAUAUUAUGCAACAUAAUUCACGGUCAGUCGACUUUUAAUUGUAAUAUCAUGUUAUAUUAACGAGUGAAAUGAUUUCAAAAUAUCUUUAGAUCGCAAAUAGUACACGAAAUUGAACGGACCUCUUUCCACACGGAAUUCAAAUAAUGAUAGUUUGUAAUCAGAUUGACUGCUUAUAAUGCAAAAGACACAUUAAUAAACAGAUUUUUAAAACGAACAAUACACACUGAUCGUUUCUUUAUUUCCCAAUGUAAAUGAAGGGAACAAAAACCAUUUCAUGCCACA